rnacentral:lncRNA from 1 species
AGUAGUUACAGUUAUAUACAUCUUGAUCUGUUUGAUGUAGUAGAAACCGCAGUAGUUAUAGAUAAUUUGUUUAGUAGAAUGCAGUUGGGAUUAGAGAGUUAAGCUUACCUUCUGUUUAAAGCUGCUCUGUUCAAUUGCUUGCUGUAGUUGAGACUGCGUCCAAUUUAGGCAUAGUUCCAGCGGUUGGAGUCGAGCCUUUUUCUACAGUUCCACAUACAUCAAUUGAGCUCAACUGAAUCAAACCAAACAUCGUAUAUAGAUUUGUAUACAAUUAUACUACAGUGCAGUUACGACAACAUGAAAUCAAGCAGCCCUUGCUGAUAACU